UAACCUGCCCAAGAGACUGGGAUAACACCUGGAAACAGAUGCUAAUACCGGAUAACAACGCUAGACGCAUGUCUAGAGUUUAAAAGAUGGUUCUGCUAUCACUCUUGGAUGGACCUGCGGUGCAUUAGCUAGUUGGUAAGGUAACGGCUUACCAAGGCAAUGAUGCAUAGCCGAGUUGAGAGACUGAUCGGCCACAUUGGGACUGAGACACGGUCCAAACUCCUACGGGAGGCAGCAGCG
rnacentral:rRNA from 1 species